CGCGUAGGCGGUGCUCUAAGUCGGAUGUGAAAACUCUGGGCUCAACCCAGAGCCUGCAUCCGAAACUGGGGUGCUAGAGUUCUGGAGGGGAUAGCGGAAUUCCUGGUGUAGCGGUGAAAUGCGUAGAUAUCAGGAGGAACACCGGUGGCGAAGGCGGCUAUCUGGACAGAAACUGACGCUGAGGCGCGAAAGCUAGGGGAGCAAACA
rnacentral:rRNA from 1 species